GCCCGCCUAGCUCAAUCGGAUAGAGCGUCAGACUUUUAAGGCGGGUUGUCUUAUGACAUCUGAAGGCUGCGAGUUCGACCCUCGCGGUGGGCU